AGACAGCAGAGUUAUUUCCCGCCCACUUUCUACUUCUAAUUGCCUCUGACCCAGAUGGCAACAAGUCCCAACCAAUCAGAGGCAGAACAGGGCAGUCUGUUUUUCUGUUUUUUAGCAAAACGUC